rnacentral:misc_RNA from 1 species
UNUCGCNUGAUCUGAGGUCUUGGUUGGUCUCUCAAGCGCGAAAAAUUAAUCAAGCACUCAAGCCGUAUCAUGUCAAUCUCAACCGAAUCGAGUAUGAUACCACGUAACGUUAUGGACAACUUCUCUGACGCGUUAGAAAAAAGAGAAACUCUCUCACUAUCACGCCGAGGAGCUGACCCGCUAGGGUACAUGCUACAGCUCGGGGAUCGCUCUACUUCAAGGGACCGAUUACAGUACAGUAAAGGGACACCUCAUUGCCCGAUACACACAAUAAAGGAGUAUUGGAUGUGAGAAACGACGCUCAGACAGACGUGCUCCUGGGAGGACCCAGGAGCGCCAUUUGCGUUCAAAGAUUCGAUGAUUCACUAAAUUCUGCAAUUCACAUUACUUAUCGCAGUUUGCUGCGUUCUUCAUCGAUGCACGAGCCAAGAGAUCCACCGUUAAAAGUUGUUCGCUUUUAAGGCAUUCACUUUACACAUACAUGUGCAAAGGUCAUCGAUACGUUUAGGCAUUGAAUUGUAAGGUCGUGGGAGAAAAACUAACACGGGGCACGCCGCGAGUGACGCACACCUGCACCGCAAAGUGCAGCUAUACGUUACUCGUUUUCCCACUGGCGAUUUAAUGGCGGUUAGGCCAACCCCGAAGACAGCAUCAAUUGAACCGCUAAGGCAGGUAAGAUUGGAUUCGUUAAUGAUCCUUCCGCAGGUUCACCUACGGAAACCUUGUUACGACUUUUACUUCCUCUAAAUGAUCAAGUUUGAUCAAGUUCUCGAGGACGAUGUGCCUUGCGGCGCAACGUCUCCUAUCCCGAGAUCUCACUAAACCAUUCAAUCGGUAUAGCGCG